AUAACAGCGUAAUUUUUUUAGAGAGUUCAUAUCAAUAAAAAAGUUUGCGACCUCGAUGUUGGAUUAAAAGUAAUCUUAGGUGCAGAAGUUUAAGAUUUUGGUCUGUUCGACCAUUGAAUUUUUACAUGAUCUGAGUUUAGACCGGCGUAAGCCAGGUUGGUUUCUAUCUUUAUUAAUUUAGUAUAUUUUAGUACGAAAGGACCAAAUAUA
rnacentral:rRNA from 1 species